rnacentral:ncRNA from 1 species
UUUAUGGAGAGUUUGAUCCUGGCUCAGAGUGAACGCUGGCGGCGUGGUUUAGGCAUGCAAGUCGAGCGAACUUAUAUUGACUUAAGUGGGCCGCAAGGCCUGCAAGAGUUGGUAUAAGUUAGCGGCGAACGGGCGAGGAACACGUGGGUAACUUACCUUCAAAUCCGGAAUAACACUUGGAAACGGGUGCUAAUGCCAGAUAAGACCACAUCAUCGCAUGAUGAUGAGGUAAAAGAUGGGGAACCGUAAGGUCCUAUCGUUUGAAGAUGGACCCGCGUCCUAUCAGCUAGUUGGUAGGGUAAUGGCCUACCAAGGCUUUUGACGGGUAGCUGGUCUGAGAGGAUGGUCAGCCGCACUGGGACUGAGACACUGCCCAGACUCCUACGGGAGGCUGCAGUCGAGAAUCUUUUGCAAUGGGCGAAAGCCUGACAAUGCGACGCCGCGUGAGGGAUGAAGGUUUUCGGAUCGUAAACCUCUGUCAAGAGGGAUGAUGCCUAUU